UACAGAGGUGGCAAGCGUUGUUCGGAAUUACUGGGCGUAAAGGGCGAGUAGGUGGCCAUCUAAGUCAGACGUGAAAUCCCCCGGCUUAACCUGGGAACUGCGUCUGAUACUGGACGGCUUGAGUAUGGGAGAGGAAUGUAGAAUUCCAGGUGUAGCGGUGAAAUGCGUAGAUAUCUGGAGGAAUACCGGUGGCGAAGGCGGCAAUUCUGGACCAUUACUGACACUGA
rnacentral:rRNA from 1 species